GACGAACCGUGCGAACGUUGUUCGGAAUCACUUGGGCUUAAAGGGCGCGUAGGCGGGCGUGCAAGUCGGCGGUGAAAUCCCCCAGCUUAACUGGGGAAGUGCCCCCGAUACUGCUCGUCUGGAGGAAGGUAGGGGCACGUGGAACUUCCGGUGGAGCGGUGAAAUGCGUAGAGAUCGGAAGGAACACCGGUGGCGAAGGAGACGUGCUGGACCUUUUUUGACGCUUAGGAGCGAAAGCCAGGGUAUCGAACGGG
rnacentral:rRNA from 1 species